rnacentral:rRNA from 1 species
UACGUAGGGCGCAAGCGUUAUCCGGAAUUAUUGGGCGUAAAGGGCUCGUAGGCGGUUUGUCGCGUCGGGAGUGAAAUCCACUGGCUUAACUGGUGGCUUGCUUUCGAUACGGGCAGACUGGAGGUAUGCAGGGGAGAACGGAAUUCCUGGUGUAGCGGUGAAAUGCGCAGAUAUCAGGAGGAACACCGGUGGCGAAGGCGGUUCUCUGGGCAUGUCCUGACGCUGAGGAGCGAAAGUGUGGGGAGCGAACAGG